GGCGGACGGGUGAGUACGCGUAAUAACCUGCAUACCACAGGAUAGCAUCGGGAACGGUGAUAUACUUGAUGAAGCUACCAUCGCAUGAUGAGUAGUUCACGAAUUUGGUGUAUGAUGGAUUGCGGUUGAUUAGCUAGUUUGGUAGGGUAAAGGCUUACCAAGGCGAUGAUCAUUAGCCGGCCUGAGAUGGUGAACGGGCCACACUGGAAACUGAGACACGUGUCCAGACUCCUACGGGAGGCAGCAGUGGGGAAUAUUGCACAAUGGAUGGAACUCUGAUGCAGCAACGCCGCGUGAACGAAGAAUGCUUUCGAGUCGUAAAGUUUCUGUUAUAGGGGAAGAAGCAGUGACGGUACCCUAUGAGAAAGCCACGGCUAAUUACGUGCCAGCAGCCGCGGUAAUACGUAAGUGGCAAGCGGUUAUCCGGAAUUACUGGGCAUAAAGCGUUCGUAGGCGGUUAAACAAGCCAAUAGUGAAAUCCACCAGCCUAACUGGUGUCAGCUAAUGGCAACUGUAUAACUUGAGUACAGGAGAGGAAAGUGGACUUCCUAGUGUAAUAGUGAAAUGCGUAAAUAUUAGGAAGACCAUCAUUAGCGAAGGCGACUUUCU
rnacentral:rRNA from 1 species